CCUAAGGCAGGGACACUUUCCACUAAACCGGGUUGUUCAGAGCCUCAUACAACCUGGCCUUGAACACUUCCAAUGAUGGAACAUCCACAACUUCUCUGGGCAAUCUGUCCCAGUGCCUCACCACUCUCACAAUGAAGAAUUUGUUUAUAACAGCCAAUCUAAACCUAGUCUCUUUCAGCUUAAAGCUGUUGCCCCAUGUCCUACUACAUGCCCUUGCAAAUCCAGGAAGGGCAAGGAAAGCAGUGCUGGGAGCAGCUGUGGGAGAUUGCUGAAAGCAUGAGGUGACCUCCAUCACUGCUAUGGCUGAGUGUCCCUCCAGGCAGCAGAGUGGAGCUUGAAAAAGUCUGACUGGAUCGUACCCCACACUUCCUCUCCCUGGAUGGACUCUCCUUUCCUGGGGAAGCAGGCUCUGCUGUCUUGUCCUCAUCAGCUUGAGUGCCAUUACCAGUCAGUCAGGAGAGGUGACAAACCUCUUGGUGGCAGGAGGCAGCCCCAGUGUGCUGAGGCCUCCGUGAUGGCCGUGGAAGAAGAGAUUAUGGCUGGUUUCACCUUUGUUUCUGUUGCUGAAGAAGGACAUUCCACCUCCAGUCUCGUGAGGCCCAGCAGUUCCUCCUGGCACAGACAUGUCCCACUGCCCAGGAGGCUUUGAAUCAGAGGUGCUACAGCACAUGUAUAUUAAAGUCUGUAAUUGAAAAGAUUCAUUGCUUCCCUCAUUGUCUCUGUCUGAAGGAGGAAAUCCAGAUGUGACAGCUGCAUGGAGUGAAAGGACACUUGGCUGUGGCAAGCUCACUGUGCUGAGUGCUUUGCAGGCAAACAGAUGUGGUCACUACUGAGGAAAACUAAACACUGUUGUGAUCCAGUAAGAAGUUAUUUACAGUAGAAAGUGAAAAUGAAUUAAUGCAGUUGCUGAGGU